rnacentral:rRNA from 1 species
CCCUUAGACGUUCUGGGCCGCACGCGCGCUACACUGACCAGUGCAACAAGCAUCCGUCCUUGGCCGACAGGCCCAGGCAAUCUUUGAACGCUGGUCGUGAUGGGGAUAGACUUUUGCAAUUUUUGGUCUUCAACGAGGAAUUCCUAGUAAACGCAAGUCAUCAACUUGCAUUGAUUACGUCCCUGCCCUUUGUACACACCGCCCGUCGCACCUACCGAUUGAAUGGUCCGGUGAAGCCUCCGGAUUGGCGCGCACCUCGGUGCCGCCGAGAAGUUGGCUAAACCUUACCAUUUAGAGGAAGGUGAAGUCGUAACA